CCGGAAGAGAGAAGUGCCCAUAGAACCAUAGGAUGGCCUGGGUUGAAAAGGACCACGAUGAUCAUCGAGUUUCAACCCCCCUGCUGUGUGCAGGGUCGCCGACCACCAGACCCUGUGCCCGUGUAUUACACUGCCAAAGCAAAACCACAACGGCACGCAUCCGUGUGAUGUAAAUACAUGCAAUAACGCAGGCAUGAAGAGUUCCUACAGUGCUCUCGGGAUCCAUUUGGAAAUGGCACUGAACCUGGCCAGGAGUUAGUAAUAUUUUCAGUGAAUAAUCUCGUUUCUGUUAGCGACCUGAGAGCUUCGGGUGAUAAAACAGCCCACACAAGAACAUGCAGAAGCAGAAAAUGCAAGAUAAUGCGUGUGUGGGGUAAUGAGUACUUGCACCAUAAAUCAAGGAGCUCUCUGGCAGAGGACUGCGAAAAUACCCAGGCUUGUUAGUCAAUGGGGAAAGGAAGCUAACAGUUUAAAAUGCAGUUGCGAAGAGAGCCCCGCAAAUGUGACUGAUGUGUGUGAGGUCAAACCUCUGAGUUGCCUGUGAGACAUUACUGUGUCCUGGACUGACGAACCGUGUCCAGGAAAAGGAACCUGUACAGAAAUACACCCAGGAGGGUUACUGGAGCAGAGCAAAGCUUAUCUACAAGAAUACACUUGGAAUAUUUGUCUGGCUAAUGCGGCAAAAGCAAACGUGGAGGAGGGGGUAUGGCUGCUGGUAACAAAAAAGCAAGGGCAGAAUCAAGGAGUGGCCAUUCAAGCUAAUAAACAAGGUUGAUAGAACAGCGUAGAUCUAAAUUGUAAGUAGAGAAGCUGCUGACGGCUGGUUUCUGGUGAGGAGGGUGAUCGGAAUGAAGAUGCAACAGGAGUGCUCACACAGAACAGAUUCACGCCAGCUGCAACUUUCCAGAUGAGAGCAGGAACCACAUCAGGGCACUCGUGAAGGGACGGAACACUGGACCUGAGCUUGGCUGAGGUCAUUGGCAGCGCUGGAUGCACAGGAGCUAGGCUAGUAGGGAGCCAGGAGGGCACAGGGAGUGAAAAUUUGAUCGACCAUUCCCAGAGCACUGAGAAAUCUAAAUGGAAAUAUUCUGGCUUGGCUUGUGACCUCAUUUUUCUUGUUCUUAGUGGAGUUUCGGUGGACUUCUGCUGAUGCGUUACGCGUCUUACAGCAAAGAGUUCUUUUACUUACCACAAAAGCAAACAGGAAACCUCGGUGAUAUUAUUAAUGUUAAUGAAAAGCUUCCACUAUGUGCCUUAAGUUUUGUAAGAAAUACUCAUCUGCCAAUGAAGUUAAGUUAAAUGGCUGUCAUCCAUACGUAGAUUCAAAACAGGGGAGUCAGCUUCAGGAUAUAAAAAACCCCCUUGAAAUAAAUUAACAACAGCUAAUUUAUUAUUCCAUUUGACUCUCUCUUUCUCCUUAUGAUGUUUAAAAAUAAUUCAAUCACAAGAUUUAAGAGGAAGUGGAAAUAAUGAUGAUCUGUUUUUAUUAAGGUACAAAACUCUUGGAGUAUCUAUGGCAAACAGAGUAGACAUUGCUGUCUGAGUCAGACUUGAAAGGAAAUGUUUAAUCCCCCAUUUUAAUAACCAGCAUAUGAGCAACAGGACCUUGUAUUUCACAAGCAUUAGAUUUUUGUAUGUGUCAAUAAAAAAAUCAGUACUACAGUUACAGUAGUAUUUUAUUUUUAUAUGGUUACUUUGAGCGAAACAUUCAAUCUUUAAGAUGCCUUAAUUGCUGCGAGUUACACUGGAAAUUAAAAUAAGCUUUCCAAUCUACUCUUCCUGUAUUUAUUUCUUAAAUGCGCAUUUUCUUAAAUGGGGCAGUACUUAAUCACCUCAGAUGUGAUCAAAUCGUAGCUGAGAUAAUUUUGUACAUGUGCUGAAACUGGUUUAGUACUAUGGGUGCAUGUCAGAGUAGAGGCGUUUGUUCUGGAUGUUUGGAUCUGUGUUGCCUGUUCUAGGCAGGGAAGAGCAAAUGGCAUGCGACCCCUGCCCCGGGUCCCUGAAUAGGGGCAGUUUUAAGGGCACACCAGGUCCAGCUCCUGGCUCCACACAGGACCACCCAAAAUCAAACCCUAUGUCUGAGAGCAGUGUCCAAACGCUCCGUGAACCCUGACACUCGGGGCCAUGCCCACAGCCCUGGGCAGCCCGUUCCAUGCCCACCACCCUCUGGUGCAGCCCCUUUCCCUAACUCCCAGCUGCCCCUCCCCUGACAACUCCAUGCCGUUCCCUCAG
ensembl:lncRNA